rnacentral:ncRNA from 2 species
GAAAGACGAACAACUGCGAAAGCA